UCUAUCAGCUUUAACCUAACUUACACAUGCAAGUCUCCGCACCCCUGUGAGAAUGCCCCCCAGUUCCCUGCUAGGGAACAAGGAGCCGGUAUCAGGCACAAUUUAGCCCAAGACACCUUGCUUAGCCACACCCCCAAGGGAACUCAGCAGUGACAGACAUUAAGCCAUAAGUGAAAACUUGACUUAGUUAAGGUUAGGGCCGGUAAAACUCGUGCCAGCCACCGCGGUUAUACGAGAGGCCCAAGUUGAUAGCCACCGGCGUAAAGAGUGGUUAAGAAACUACAAUAAAUUAGAGCCGAACGCUUUCAAGGCUGUUAUACGCACCCGAGAGUAAGAAGCACGACAACGAAAGUGACUCUAUUAAUUCUGAACCCACGAAAGCUAAGGUACAAACUGGGAUUAGAUACCCCACUAUGCCUAGCCUUAAACAUCGAUGGCCCCUUUAAGCCAUCCGCCAGGGAACUACGAGCAUUAGCUUAAAACCCAAAGGACUUGGCGGUGCUUUAGAUCCACCUAGAGGAGCCUGUUCUAGAACCGAUAACCCCCGUUCAACCUCACCUUUCCUUGUUCAACCCGCCUAUAUACCACCGUCGUCAGCUUAUCCUGUGAAGGCCUUUUAAUAAGCAAAAUUGGCAAAGCCUAAAACGUCAGGUCGAGGUGUAGCGUACGGAAAGGGAAGCAAUGGGCUACAUUACCUACACAGGUAACCACGGACGAUAUAUUGAAAGAUAAAUCCAAAGGAGGAUUUAGUAGUAAGAGAAGA
rnacentral:rRNA from 1 species